rnacentral:tRNA from 2 species
GCCUUUGUAGCUCAGUUGGUAGAGCGCCGGGUUGAAGGUCCGGGCGUCGCAAGUUCGAUUCUUGCCGAAGGCACCA